GAAAGCUCCAAACAGAGUGUGGGCCUCCUGAGAAAGCUGCCACUUAUUUCUCGAGUGGCCAGGACGAGGUCCGAAUGAAAGCUGUGGAAAAUUCAGGGGCCCUUUUACAGAGCAUCCCAGUGACCAAGAUAGAAGAGAUGACCCUGCAUCUUCUUCUGACCGGGCUGGAGGUGUUGCGGGAGAGGGCUGGCCGCCAUCACGGGGGCUCUGGAAGCCACGAUCUCCCCACGGUUAUGGCUGUCAUCCCAGCAGUGGGGGAGUGCAGAGCCCCAGCCCUUUUAGCAUCCUUUUCCAGCCUCCUCUGAUGCUCCAUGACAGCCUCUGCAGACUCCUCCCUGGAGCCUUCCCUGGAUUCCCUCAACACCAUCGAGUGGUUUAUGCGCAGGAGAGGCAGGAGAGACCAGGUUCAGCUGGGUUUUCAACACCAACUCUACUUCCUCUGCUGCCCAACCACCGCCUGCAUGGAGGAGGAACCACAUGGAGGAGGAACUGCAACUUGAUGGGCCCUUUUCGAAGGCAGAGAUGCUUUCUGCACUUGUGACGAGUGAAGCCGAAAACCCCCAGCGAGAUGGAAACCCGUCUUUUCCUUGGUUCCGCCCUCCCUGCUCUGGUCAGUCUGGAGGAGCCGAGCCAGUUGGAGUCCAGGCUCAUUUACUUAGAAGUUGUCGUUUAAGACCUAGGCGGAGGUAGAAGAACAAUCACCCUGUGCAAGAUAUGGCGCAGACACCACCAGCCGCUUGACAUGAACAGCAUCAGUAGCAGAAAGGAAAAAUCCCCCAUUUCCAGCGAAUUGCAAGACGGUCUUGCCCUGGUCUUGGCUUUGGGCAGCUCAGGUUGAGAAGCCUAUUUGGAAGGAGGGACCAAGUAGGAGAGGAGAGACCGAGGAAUCUAUGGCAGAGGCUGCCCUGCUUCCAGUUGUCAGGAUUAGCAGGGAACCUUCAGGAACACCACCAGGAUGGCGGAGCAUCUUCUUUGGGGGCAGUUAGAGGAGGACCCAAGCAGAGACCAUCUACUUUCCAUCGUGGAGGUGUUUGGGGAGCUCUUCCCAGAAGAAGAGAAAACAGCCUUCUUGGAGACUGCCCUGCAGGGAGACCCUCCCAGCCGUCAAACUGUGGAUGAUUGACCGGUUCAUGAGCAGGAAGAGACCACAGGUCCUAGGAUUCCCCCUUUAGUCUACAGGAGGGGAAGGCAAGACCAUCUCCUGGCCUUGGGUUCUUGGGACCUUCUACAAAAACACCAGCAGAACCAUGCAGGUUCUCCUCCAAGGCCUGCUCCAGGAGGACCCCACCAGUGGCCACCUCUUUUCCCUCCUGGACCAUCUGCAGGGUUGGCUUUGCUCAGAACAAGGGACAGAGCGGGCCUCGGCGACACAGAGUAUGGCUGCGGUGCUCAGUGAGACAGAGGCCAUAAUAUUCCAGCUUCAUGCAUCACUCCCUAUUGGCAUCUGAGGACUCCCUCCUAGAUUCAGUGGACAUACCCAGAUCCAAGGUGUUGCUGUGAACAUGAAAAUGGACCCACAAGGUCAUCGUGGCAGAUGGGAAGAAGAAUAUAGAAUAGAUGGAGGAAGAAGAGGA